AAUCAACGCUGGCGGCGUGCCUCAGACAUGCAAGUCGAACGCGAAAGUCCCCUUCGGGGGAGUGAUUAGAGUGGCGCACGGGUGAGUAACACGUAGGUAAUCUACCUUCGAGUGGGGAAGUAACUCAGGGAAACGUUGAGCUAAUACCGCAUAAUGCAGCGGCACCACAUGGUGACAGUUGUUAAAGCAUUUAUGCGCUUGAAGAGGAGCCUGCGGCAGAUAGCUAGUUGGUAAGGUAAUGGCUUACCAAGGCUACGAUCUGUAACCGGCCUGAGAGGGCGGACGGUCACACUGACACUGAAUAACGGGUCAGACUCCUACGGGAGGCAGCAGUCGGGAAUUUU
rnacentral:rRNA from 1 species